AGAUGUUCAUUUGGUAUAUCGAUAGGGACAUAACUAACCACAUAUUCAUGUGGAACUUAACUAUGUAAUGUAUGUGAUGUAUAUGUGCAGUGGAAGAUGAUGAGUCAACAUUAGGCAAAGGAGAUGAUGAUGACAAAGGCAUAGUCUUAACAAAGUGCAAGGAGCAUGAAAUAAUAAAAUGGUAUUAGGAAACAUAUCAACUGCCUCAUAAAUGUAUAGAAAUUUUUUGUCCUUGGUAGUUGAGAAAUUAACA
rnacentral:lncRNA from 1 species